rnacentral:lncRNA from 1 species
GGGAAAAGUUCAGGCAUGCGCGGGAAAGGUUGUUAAUGAAGAACCCGGAAAUGUGCCAUCUUGUUUCCGCUUUGCGGAGAUCAGCAACAGAGGUCGGCUAAUUCCGGGCCUCAUGGCUCCGGACAGGAAGGGAUUUCUGCUUUGGCUUAAUUUGGUAAAAAGAGUGACUUCUGUAUUGGAGCCAAGCAGAAGGUAUGAAGAAUCUCACUGUCUUUGAGUUAGGAUGAAAAACUGAGUGUUUCCCUGCCAAGUCUCCAAGAGAAGGAAGUGUGAACAGAUGGUGGAGGAAACUGCACAGAGAACCUUGGUUCACCCCACUGUGAGGCAGGACCCAUGAUCUUCUUGGUCAACUUCACAGCGGGUUUGUGGUGAUGCUUUUUGGAUGUCUUUCCCCUUGGACAUUCAAACUCAGCAUCCUCAAAGAGAAAGAAAGUGGGACCUGUACCCAGCAAGAGUUCUGGGUUGGGUAUCAAGAUUGGAUGUCUACUUCAUAGAAGAGUGAAUUGUGGCAUUCUUUGAGCUGCUGAUGAAAGGCAUAAGUCUAAUCAGCCACCACAUUAGACA